AUUGAACGCUGGCGGCAGGCCUAACACAUGCAAGUCGAGCGAGUGGCGGACGGGUGAGUAAUGUAUGGGGACUGCCCGAUAGAGGGGGAUCACUACUGGAAACGGUGGCUAAUACCGCAUACUAUCGGAUAACCCAGAUGGGCUUAGCUAGUAGGUGGGGUAAAGGCUCACCUAGGCGACGAUCUCUAGCUGGUCUGAGAGGAUGAGCAGCCACACUGGGACUGAGACACGGCCCAGAUGCCUACGGAGGCAGCAGUGGGGAAUAUUGCACAAUGGGCGCAAGCCUGAUGCAGCCAUGCCGAGGGUAUGAAGAAGGCCUUAGGGUUGUAAAGUACUUGCAGCGGGGAGGCGUUACCCGCAGAAGAAGCACCGGCUAACUCCGUGCCAGCAGCCGCGGUAAUAC
rnacentral:rRNA from 1 species